rnacentral:rRNA from 1 species
UACGAAGGGGGGCUAGCGUUGCUCGGAAUCACUGGGCGUAAAGCGCACGUAGGCGGAUUGCUAAGUCAGGGGUGAAAUCCUGGAGCUCAACUCCAGAACUGCCUUUGAUACUGGCGAUCUUGAGUCCGGGAGAGGUGAGUGGAACUGCGAGUGUAGAGGUGAAAUUCGUAGAUAUUGGGAAGAACACCAGUGGCGAAGGCGGCUAACUGGUCCAGAUCUGACGCUGAGGUGCGAAAGCGUGGGGAGCAAACAGG